GUGAGUUUAAAGUCAGAGCUCCAGAUAUUUGUGAAGAAUAAAAAUCUAGCUGGGAUUGCACUGAACCCUGCCUUCAAGGGAAAUGGACAAAAUCUUGAAAGCAUCAUUUUUAAUUCUAGGACUUCAACUGGCAUGGGUGAGGGGCCAACAGAAGGAUAAGAGUGACCAGCAGCAAGUGAAACAAAAUUCUCAGUCUCUGACUGUCCAGGAAGGAGAGAUUUCAAUUCUGAACUGCACAUAUGAAAACAGAGCACUUGACUAUUUCUUGUGGUACCGGCAGUUCCCUGGAAAAGGACCUGAAUUACUGAUAGCCAUACCUGAAACUUUGAAUAAAAAGAAGGAUGGAAGAUUCACAGUCUUCUUCAGUAAAGAUGCCAGAGAGUUUUCCCUGCAUAUCAGGACUGUGCAGCCUAGAGACUCGGCCACCUACUUCUGUGCAGCAAGCACACAGUAAUCUCCGGGCACCUGCACCCUGUGCCCAAACCCAUAGCUGGGGCUCCUGAAGAGCCCUGCUCAAGACUUAGGCGGGGAGAGAGGUACUUUCACUUGCACAAAUAGGUGGCACAGUAAGUGAAAAACUC